GGCUCCAAGUGGCUCCAUCUGGAACCCAGGUCUGAGGGGUCCACUACAAGCCUUGUUGUGAAGUCACCUCACUGAUGCCAAGUUGUAAGAAGAGUGGAAGCAGAGAAUGAAGGAAGAAAAUGCUUGAGGUUUGGCUGAAUGCCUCCUUCUGGUGGAAGGAAAAUUAAAGAAAGUUGCUCCAGUUUAGGCCCAGUGGAUGGCUGAUAACCCACAGAAAGAGAGCAUCCUUCAUCCUGAUAAACGGGCUGUGAGCUGAGCACGUGACUAGCUCCUUAAGACCUGGGUCUUCAGCUUCCUGCCCUCACCUUAACUGGAAACUGGGUAAAAGCCACAUCAAGAGGAGUUCUGAAAAUGGCAUGUGGAUGAAAAGGGAGCCUCUUGGAGACUCUGGUGGCUGAAGAUACGCGUCAGUCAAGGAAUUGGAUUUCCCUAUACCAAAAAGCCAUUGCUGGCUGAGCAGAACAAGAUGUGGACUCACCAAACUCAACAACCUGCUUUUCUCACAAGAAAGUAUUAAUUGCGCUACUUCCUUUUACUUAAUGAAUCUCAAAAUUUUAUUUUGGCUUUGACUGUGAAGGCGAGAGAGAAAUGCCAGGGUUCCACCCCUGCCUUCCUGAGUCAGACCAUCUGGCGAACAGAGCUCAUUAAUCUACACGUUUUUUUUUUUUUAAUGUAUAAAAUAAACAUAACAAAAUUGACCAUCUUAA